rnacentral:lncRNA from 1 species
UGGGUUUGUAAUUACUUUAAGGUGCCAACCGACCAUCACUGUGCUCUCAUGCAUAUAUUCAAACUUACAAAUGGCUGGGGUUGCCCAGAUGAGUUCUUUGUUGCUUUCGGUAGAAGGACUUUUGACAAAAUAGAAACACAUAAACAAUUACUGCUUAUUAAGAAAUCACAAUUAUUAUCUUUCCCAGUUCCUGAUCUAAUCGUUUUGCUUGACUGCAGCCUCACUUGCGAACAUAUUUGGGAUCAUCCAAUUUUUGUAAUAAAAUUGUGAUCAUGUAGUACAGGUGGUGAUCAUCAAACGCGACCUUUUCCAUGUGGGAUCCUGAGAUGUGGUUUUGAGGCACGUUGAACACGCUAGGAGGCCGAUACUGCCUCGACAGAGAGCAAGGCCAUAGACCCAGUCCAGGAUUUCACCUAGGUUUUGUUGAAGGAUAGGAGGAGAGCAAAGGAUCGAGGUUAUCUUGGAAGUUCCGUUGGUGGUCUAGCAGUUUAUGCCUUGGCAUCUGCAAUAGAAAAGUUCUGCAAUGGUCACAUGGCCAUAAACCGUGGUAAUGAUGGAAGAAAGCAUAAAGUAGUUGAAAGAACUUGAAAAGAAAGAAGCAUUAGCAACAUUGCCUUUGAACCCAACAAGUCAUGAAUAUUAAAUUUUAAAUGUUGCUAGAACUGCAAUACUUUGCUUUUACUGAUGAUUUUUGUAUCUUACAGGGUACAACCAAUGAUGUGACAGCCUUUCUAAUCCUUGGAAGAAGUCAGAUAAAAGACUUAGCGACUCCGAUAUUUUAAGAGUGGGUCAAAAAUUUAAUACAGUGAUGAUGAUUAACAGGGGAAUGGAG